rnacentral:rRNA from 1 species
UACGGGGGGGGCAAGCGUUGUUCGGAAUUACUGGGCGUAAAGGGCUCGUAGGUGGCCAACUAAGUCAGACGUGAAAUCCCUCGGCUUAACCGGGGAACUGCGCCUGAUACUGGAUGGCUUGAGUUCGGGAGAGGGAUGCGGAAUUCCUGGUGUAGCGGUGAAAUGCGCAGAUAUCAGGAGGAACGCCGGUGGCGAAGGCGGGUCUCUGGGCCGAUACUGACGCUGAGGAGCGAAAGCGUGGGGAGCGAACAGG